GCUGCGUAGGCGCGAUGGCCUUCUUUUCUUUCUGCAGGUGGCCUUGCGGUUUUCUCCAGUCCACAGCCGGGCUGGCGUCGGCCCAGAGAGGGGGGCUCGGCAGUCUGGUUCCCCGAGCGUCUCAUGGCGGGCCCUCGCCAGAUUCAAGGGGUUCCCUUGGCCAGUUUCCUUACGGCGCGGCGGAGCUGGCCCUCGUCGUCCCUGGUAGGGGGCAGCCUCACAGCCUGGACCGGCCUGUGCAAUUUCCCCCAUCCCUCCACGUCUACAUUUUAUUUUUUUCUUUUUCUUUUUUUAGGACAAUGCAUGAUGGAAAUGCAGCCACAUCAUAGCAGGCAGGUUCAUGAAAUCUGCCCUCCUCCCACCGUUUCUUGACCCCAUUUUCUUAUUUUUUUUUUUAACAGGUUCUCACCCAGGCUGGAGUGCAGUGAUGUGGUCUCAGCUCACUGCAACCUCUGCCUCCCGGGUUCAAGCGAUUCUGUUGCCUCAGCUUCCUGAGUAGCUGGGAUUACAGGUGUGCGCCACCACGCCUGGCUAAUUUUUGUACCUUUAGUAGUGACGAGGUUUCGCCCUGUUGGUCAGGCUGGUCUCGAACUCCUGACCUAAGGUGAUCCGCCUGCCUCGGCCUCCCAAAGUGCUGGGUCUAUAGGCAUAAGCCACCACACCCGGCCCUUGACCCCAUUUUCUGUCUUCCUAGAAAUCACCAAGGUUGCAACUCCUGACUGUCCUGGCUCACAGGCUCCAGCUUACUUAAGGACCCCACGGUGGGGGCUGCCCACUUGCACACCUAUGCUAGGCGCCCUCAUUCCCGCAAGGGCCAGAGCCCCUUCCCGGCCCAUGGCGUCUGGCCAAGGAGGUGUGGGUGCGCCCCAGCCAGGCCUGGUCCUAGAGGACGGCCCCACCUGCGCACUGGGGCAUCUGGGAGAGCUAUUAGUGGAAGAAGCCCAGGUUCCUGAAGCACCAAGUGGGCAAGAGUUUAUUUUCAGGAUGGGACGCUUUUGAGGGUGAAUAAGUGCUAGCUGUAUGGGAUGCGGGGACAGUACACAGGCCCGGCCUGGCAGCCGGGCAAUGCGGUGCCUGUUGGAAGGUCGCCCACAAGCACCUGGUUGGACACUGCCACUGAGAUUUGGUUAUUACAGAGGUUAGCCUAUGCGGGCCUUCACUGAUGGACCUUGAAGUGUUUCCCAGUUGCUUUGGGUUAGGAAUAAUGUGACUGGAUCCCGUGGAUUGUCUUUGUGCAUGCAUUAUUUUGAGAUCCUGUCGUGAAGUGGUGAUGGCCCUGUUUCUGCCUGCUGCACUUGGCAACAUGUGUUAUCACU
rnacentral:lncRNA from 10 species